GGGAUAACUACUGGAAACGGUAGCUAAUACCGCAUAACGUCGCAAGACCAAAGAGGGGGACCUUCGGGCCUCUUGCCAUCGGAUGUGCCCAGAUGGGAUUAGCUAGUAGGUGGGGUAACGGCUCACCUAGGUGACGAUCCCUAGCUGGUCUGAGAGGAUGACCAGCCACACUGGAACUGAGACACGGUCCAG
rnacentral:rRNA from 1 species